rnacentral:rRNA from 1 species
GCUGGCGGUAACUUUUAAACAUGCAAGUCGAGCGGURACAGACAUAAAGAUUCAGCUUGCUGAAUCCGGUGCUGACGAGCGGCGAACGGGUGAGUAACGCGUAGGAAUCUACCCAGUAGCGGGGGAUAGCCCGGGGAAACCCGGAUUAAUACCGCAUACGCCCUAAGGGGGAAAGGGGGCAGCUUGCUGCUCUCACUAUUGGAUGAGCCUGCGUAAGAUUAGCUUGUUGGUAGGGUAAAGGCCUACCAAGGCAACGAUCUUUAGCUGGUCU